CCUACGGGAGGCUGCAGUGGGGGAUAUUGGACAAUGGGGGGAACCCUGAUCCAGCGACGCCGCGUGAGUGAAGAAGUAUUUCGGUAUGUAAAGCUCUGUCAGCAGGGAAGAAAGAAAUGACGGUACCUGACCAAGAAGCCCAGGCUAACUACGUGCCAGCAGCCGCGGUAAUACGUAGGGGGCAAGCGUUAUCCGGAAUUACUGGGUGUAAAGGGAGCGUAGACGGGUAAGUAAGUCUGGAGUGAAAGGCCGGGGCCCAACCCCGGGACUGCUCUGGAAACUAUUGAACUUGAGUGCAGGGGAGGUAAGCGGAAUUCCUAGUGUAGCGGUGAAAUGCGUAGAUAUUAGGAGGAACACCAGUGGCGAAGGCAGCUUACUGGACUGUAACUGACGUUGAGGCUCGAAAGCGUGGGGAGCAAACAGGAUUAGAUACCCUGGUAGUC
rnacentral:rRNA from 1 species